rnacentral:rRNA from 1 species
UGGGGAAUUUUGGACAAUGGGCGCAAGCCUGAUCCAGCCAUGCCGCGUGAGUGAAGAAGGCCUUCGGGUUGUAAAGCUCUUUCAGUUGGGAAGAAACGAUUGCAACUAAUAAUUGUAAUUAAUGACGGUACCGACAGAAGAAGCACCGGCUAACUACGUGCCAGCAGCCGCGGUAAUACGUAGGGUGCGAGCGUUAAUCGGAAUUACUGGGCGUAAAGGGUGCGCAGGCGGUUUUGUAAGUCAGAUGUGAAAUCCCCGGGCUUAACCUGGGAAUGGCGUUUGAAACUGCAAGGCUAGAGUGUAGCAGAGGGGAGUGGAAUUCCGCGUGUAGCAGUGAAAUGCGUAGAUAUGCGGAGGAACACCGAUGGCGAAGGCAGCUCCCUGGGCUAAACGCUGACGCUC